rnacentral:rRNA from 1 species
UACGUAGGGUGCGAGCGUUAAUCGGAAUUACUGGGCGUAAAGCGUGCGCAGGCGGUUAUUUAAGUCAGGUGUGAAAGCCCUGGGCUUAACCUAGGAAUUGCGCUUGAGACUGGAUAGCUUGGAGUGCGGCAGAGGGAGGUGGAAUUCCACGUGUAGCAGUGAAAUGCGUAGAUAUCUGGAGGAACACCGGUGGCGAAGGCGGCAUCCUGGACCGGGAUUGACACUGAGGCGCGAAAGCCAGGGGAGCAAACGGG